rnacentral:rRNA from 1 species
ACGGGUGAGUAACGCGUGGGUAACCUACCCUGUACACACGGAUAACAUACCGAAAGGUAUGCUAAUACGGGAUAAUAUAUUUGAGAGGCAUCUCUUAAAUAUCAAAGGUGAGCCAGUACAGGAUGGACCCGCGUCUGAUUAGCUAGUUGGUAAGGUAACGGCUUACCAAGGCGACGAUCAGUAGCCGACCUGAGAGGGUGAUCGGCCACAUUGGAACUGAGACACGGUCCAAACUCCUACGGGAGGCAGCAGUGGGGAAUAUUGCACAAUGGGCGAAAGCCUGAUGCAGCAACGCCGCGUGAGUGAUGAAGGCCUUCGGGUCGUAAAACUCUGUCCUCAAGGAAGAUAAUGACGGUACUUGAGGAGGAAGCCCCGGCUAACUACGUGCCAGCAGCCGCGGUAAUACGUAGGGGGCUAGCGUUAUCCGGAUUUACUGGGCGUAAAGGGUGCGUAGGCGGUCUUUCAAGUCAGGAGUGAAAGGCUACGGCUCAACCGUAGUAAGCUCUUGAAACUGGGAGACUUGAGUGCAGGAGAGGAGAGUGGAAUUCCUAGUGUAGCGGUGAAAUGCGUAGAUAUUAGGAGGAACACCAGUGGCGAAGGCGGCUUACUGGACGGUAACUGACGUUGAGGCUCGAAAGCGUGGGGAGCAAACAGGAUUAGAUACCCUGGUAGUCCACGCUGUAAA